rnacentral:tRNA from 1 species
GUGCACUUAGCUCAGUGGUUAGAGCAUCACUCUUGAAUAAUGAGGUUUCAGGUUCAAUUCCUGCAGUGCACA